AAGUGAAAGAAAUUCAGCUCUUCCAGGAUCUGAGUUUAGAAGGGAAGGACAGAAGCCGUGGGAAUCAGGGGAGCUGACCGGAAGGGAUUACAGUGAGAGGAAGGAAUCUGGGAGAGAUUAACACAGAAAGGCCAUGUGAGGAUGCAGCAAGAAGGCGGUUGCCUGCAAGCCUGGAAGAAAGCUCUCACCAGGAACUGAAUAAGCCAGCACUUUAACCCUGACUUCCAGCC